ACGUUAUAGCUAUAAACACUGGGAGUUUGUGAGGGAUAUUUGAGACUUUCCGUCUGGGCCAGGUGACCCUUCCCUAACCUAAAAACUCCUCCAAAUACCUUUGGGGCAUUCUUUCGAGUCUUGGCGAGACAUUUCUUCUGGAUGGUGGUGAUAUGCCUCAUCUGAAACGGCUAGAAAGCGACCAGCCUGCCUACCAGCAUUGGCGUCUCUGUUCCCUAGCAACGUGCUCUAGCCACAGAGUACUUUUACUUUUGCGCUGGCAGCUGGAAAUCAGCUCUUGGUUGGACAGUGGCUCUGCUGAGUGCCUCCAAGGAUAUAAAGGGUCCUGGGCCCUCUUGAGACUCCUGCUGCAGGGGGCAGUGCGCCCCUGUGCACACGUGGCACCCCACCAUGUUGGAUUUCACACGUGGAUUAAUGGACUUGAAUCUGGCCUGAAAGCUAAACCACACACCUGGCUGCAACAUGGAACAGAAACUCUGGAUGCUGGCCUAGUUGCUGACUCUAUUGAACACCCAAUGCCCCUCUUCAGGACCGGCUUAGGGGAAAUGGGACAUUGCAAUCAUGCCAAUAAAAUCUUCUACCGCCUCUCAUCCUCCCGUGGGGGGGCUUCUGAAAAUGCUGAUUUCAGCAGUGCCCCAAGAACCCCACAAACAAUGGAGGAUUCCCACGUGUGUACCCCUCCAGCAGCAAUAGGAGGAGUAGAGACAUGAAGAGGAAGAAAAUAAUUUCCAUUCACUUGACCUCUUCAUCCAUAGGCUUGCACGAAAACACCAACAAUAGUGCUUAGCUGGCCCCCGUUUUAUUUAUUAAAUUUGGAGUAUCUUGAA